AGGGAUUCAGAUCCUGAGAGGGGGUGGAGGGGUGGGGUGGGGGGGUAUCCAUGCUUCAGUGGAUGUACGUACAGCCAUGAGCACUCCGUGGACUCGAAAAUGCACCACGCAAGACAGUUUCUCCUUCCAGAGGUGACUGAGGCCAAACGAGAUAACAGACAGGUGCCCCGGGCCUAGUGAGGGAACCCCGCAGCAGAUGGCAGACACAAGCCUGAGAAGUCGGCUUCUGUGUCAGCGGGAACUGACAUCCACAGAACCCUCAGUGUGUUUGUGAGGACCUCCCAUGAUUAAACGUGGCUACUCUGCUCUGACAAAUGGCUGAAGGAGAAAUCCAGCAAGUCUGAGGUGGGGUCAUUCUCAGGGGAGUUAGGGCUCUCUUUGGUGUCUACAGAACCCUCUUUCCUUCCAUCGCAGCGAUCCAACUGCCAGAAGUUCACCAUGUCUAUUCUCAGGAUCUAUGCCAGGGAGAGAUCUUUGACUCUUCAGGGAAUCUGGUGUAUCUCUACACUGCAAAAGGUCUCUUCAAAGCUGCAGUGCCCAGCGUUGCAUCCACCGGCAUCUACGUGGCCCUAGAACUCCAAGACAAUGAUAAGACCUGCUUCCUGGGGAAGGGUGUCUCAAAGGCUGUUGGGCACAUCAGUAACACUAUCGCACCUGCUCUGGUUAGCAGGAAACUGAAUGUUGUGGAGCAAGAGGAGAUUGACCAGGUGCUGAUCGAGAUGGAUGGUACAGAGACUAAAUCUAAAUGUGGUGCAAACACCAUCCUGGGAGUGUCCCUGGCUGUCUGCAGAGUUGGUGCUGUGGAAAAGGGGUGCCCUUUACCAUCGCAUUGCUGACUUGGCCGGCAACCCUGAAGUCAUCCCGCCAGUCCCAGCUUUCAAUGUAUUCAACAGUGGUUCUCAUACUGGCAACAUGCUGGCCACGCAACAAGAGUUCAUGAUCCUGCCUGUGAGGGGCAUCCUGUUUCCGGGAAGCCAUGCACAUUGGAGCAGAGGUUUACCACAACCUGAAGAAUAUCAUCAAGGAGAAGACGCCACCAAUAUGGGUGAUGAGGGUGGAUUUGCACCUAACAAGCUAGAGAAUGUAGAAGCCCUAGAGCUGCUCAAGACUGCAAUGGCAAAGGCGCGCUCCACUGACCAGGUUGUCAUCGGCAUGGAUGUGGCUGCCUCCGAGUUCUACAGAGCUGACAAGUAUGACCUGGAUUUCAAGUCUCCAGAUGACUCCAGCUGGUACAUCACACCCGACCAGCUGGCUGCCUGUACAAGUCCUUCAUCAAGGGGUGUCCAUUGAAGACCCCUUUGACCAGAACAACUGGGAUGCUUGGCAGAAGUUCACAGCUAGUGCCGGCAUCCAGGUGGUGGGGGAUGACCUCACAGUGACCAACUCUAAGUGGAUUGCCAAGGCUACGGGCAAGAAGUCCUACAACUGCCUCCUGCUCAAAAUGAGCCAGAUUGGCUCUGUGACUGAGUUUCUGCAGGCGUGUAAGCUGACCUAGUCCAAUGGCUGGGGUAUCAUGGUGUCCCAUAGAUCUGGGAAGACUGAGGACACUUUCAUUGCCGACCUCGUGGUGGGGCUCUGCACUGGGCAGAUCAAGACUGGUGUCCAAUCUGAGCACCUGGCCAAGUACAAUCAGAUCCUUAGAGUUGAGGAAGAGCUGGGCAGGUCCUUCAGGAACCCACUGACCAAGUAAGGCAUGGACUGGAGAUCCCUGGAGCUACCGGAUCCUCUGUCCCUGAUGUCAUCCAGGUAGCUCAAGGCUGGCCCAGUGCUUACCCCUCCCAUGUCACUGCUUCCUUAGAUGUCCACCCUGACCACCUGGAGCCCUGCUGGAGACUCCAGCUUUGUAAUCACGUGACUGGUCUGAAUCAUUGUUUCUGUCACCUGACUUCCCAGCUAGUGUCUGGAGCCCUCAGGACUCCAGUAAUCUCUAGGGUGCCCAUACCGUCAAGACUCCCCCAAUGGUUUACAUGCAAAAAUAUAAGCCACAGAAGCCCAGAAAAAAAAUUUUUUUAGAGUUAGGAAGGUAAAUGAACUUUACCAGCACUGUCCACCAUUGCAGAUACCAUUGUUUACAGUGUUAUUUCAGUCACUGAGUUAUCCUGUGGUUGAGAUGCUGCUCAAUUAAUGCAUAGAGGGAGGGAGUGCCCUGCAGCCAAAUCACCUUCCGAAGGGGAAAAGGGCAGUGUAUAGGAAAGGCUCAACAUGUGCAAAGUCAUUUCUCAGCAGUGGGAACCAUGGUAACUGUGGGGAUGGGAUCACAGGGUGAUUGAUGGCCUCUGGCUAGUGUUGCAGAUCAAGGGAGUUCAAAGGGCAUCUGUGUCAUCCGUGGUGCAGGUCUGGAGCCAGGCCUGGCUGUUAGCAGGCAAGUUUCAGAAAUCCCAUGCAGUCAGUCCUUACAAGAUGAACCAGGCUGCAACUAAUAAGAUUCUCGGCUGACCCAACUCAUACAGCAGGAUCCUGGGAAAACAAGAAUGCCCUUGAACCAAUGGAUAGUGGGGACAUACCUUUCCAAAGCUGCUAUCUUGGACUCUCUUUCCAGUGUGUUCCAGACAGAGUAGAUUCUGCUUGGGAAGCAGCAAUCAGAGGAAAGGUAUUGAAGGAGGGAUGUCACCCCCAGAUCACCACCUUCCUCUUCACCUCUCCAAGGUCUCCACAGGGUCUUCUAGGCCCCUUUAACUCAUAUCAGGUCACGUGGUUUAUACAACUCACACCUCAUCUCUAGCUCUUUAUCUUAAUCUCUGUCUCUUGGUCUCUCGGUAGACUUGGUGCCAUCUAAUCUUGAUGAAGUAACCCAUGGAAUCUUCAACACUGCAUCCCAAGCCUCUACAAAGGUGGAGUGUGUCUUGAUCUCAAUUCUACUGGGAGGACCCCUCUUGUGUCCUUUCUCUCUCCAAAGACAGACACCCUUCCCCCUUGUCCCCAAAUGCUAAAGGUGCUGUCAACUGCCCAUACAGGGAACACAUGAUAGAGAUUCCACAAGGACUAGAAAAAUGUGGAAGGAAAAAGAAAUUAAAUUCCUAUUGGUGCGAAGUAGAAUGUGCCCACACAGUGGAGCUCACCUGUACAGGUAUCUCAUUCUCUAGUACCUGUGGUGAAGAGGGUCCCCUAGCCCACUUUACUAUGGUCUUAAUCAUCUGAGGCCACUAAUACAAAAUACCCGAGGCUGGUUGCUUAAACAACAAAGGAAGUUCUUGUGGUCCUGAGAGUUGCAAAGUCCCAAGUUCAAGAUACAAGCAGGUUCUAUUCAGCUAAGCAUUUAUUUCAUGGCUUCUAGGCAGCCAUCUUCUCUGUGUCUUUACACGACAUGGACAGAGAAUUCUGGACACUUCUUUAACAAAUAAGGACACCAACUGGGACCAUGGAGAGGCCCCAUCUUUGUAACUUCAUCUAAACCAAAGGCUCUACCUCCUCCAGUACCAUUUGGGCUUCAGCAGUUGAGCUCACUGGGUCAUGAACUCAAUAUCAACCACUGACGUCCUUCACUGGGUCAUGAACUCAAUAGUUCACACCUGAGACUCUGUGCUAGUGGGGAAAGUGAGCCGUGUACCUUCAACCCCAAUGGCAGAACCAGGAGGGUUUUGUUUUUGUUUUUCGAGACAGAGUUUCUCUGUGUGUAGCCCUGGCUGUCCUAGAAUCCAGUCUAUAGACCAGGCUAGCCUCAAACUCAUAGGGAUCAGCCUGCCUUUGCCUUUCAAGGGCUGGGAUCAAAGGCAUGCACCACCAUGCCUGGCCCGAUCAGGACCGCUUAUCUGAGCUUCUAGUAAGGAGUAAAGAGGGGGUGAGAUCCCUAUAUGGGGACAGUUUUAUAAGGACUGUCCAGGGUCCUUUCAGGCCACAAUUAUACAUAAGACCAGACCUUUCCAUCUCUCAUCUGCUCUGCUGGACUCUGAAGCGCUGGCCUUCUCCAAAAAGGAAAAAUUAAAAACAAAUUCUCAAGUGGGUUGCUAGUAUUUCAGCCCAGCAAAUUUUACUUUCCGUUAAAAGUCACCAGCUGUCAUGUGUUUGGCUCUGAAUGGAAAUUACUUGCUCUCAAAGAACCUUUUUUCAGUUGACGCCACUUACGAGUUUUAUUUUCUUCUAAUGAAAAAUGGAUUUGCGUUAGUGUCUCUGUAAUGUCAGGAAGCCCAUGGACACACGCCUGCCUGUCUUGAUGAGCUGCCCUGCCCUGAGGAAAACUAAUUGCUCUGGCAGCCAGCUUGGAAGAUUGACACUGUGGUCAAGAUGGGGCAUGGAGGGACGGAGGGAGGGAGCCCCACAGAGCUUCUCCCCAUCAAGGAAAAAAAGGUUUCUUUCAAUAAACAAUGCUUUUAAGUGCUAAGGAGGAGGUCUUGGAAAAGGGAGUGAAUAGUUUAAUGUGAUUAACGACUUCCAAGGAGGCAAUUCUUCAGAGCCUCGGACACACAUGUCCACAAAGCCUACUGCUGAAGGCUAGAUCCCCACCAGACCUCUGCUCAAAACAGUGGCCCCACUGUGCGAGUAAUCUAGGGCCUUGUCUGUGGUGAUUAGGAUGCUCUCUUCAUGACUCUCAGAAACAAAACAAACCAUCUGGUAAUUCUCCUCCUGAGAGGUUUAAACAGAAGGACUGAGAGAUCAAAGCCAGCUUGACCUAGACUCCCCCUUCACCACAAAAUAAAAUAAAAUAAACCAAAGCGAGAACAGUAAGACACAACAAACUGCGUUAAAACAGCAGAAAGACAAAGGCAAAGCAAGUGGCAGGGACUGGGAGCAGGUUGCUCACCAGACCAGCCGGCAGCCGGGAGGACCCUGGUGCCCCUGACAACAGACACUGACUCCUGACUGAGCCCCAAACCCAGAGCCUGCAUAGAAACUUUAAACAGAACUCAGAAGGGCUCUCGCCCCCACUGGUCUCUCCAUACACGCAACCAAGGCACACCCGUGUCUUAAGAGAUUUUCAUGGAAAUGGUGGCCUUCAAACCCAGGCUGUACAGAAGCCCCAGGCAGGCCCAGGCAAAAAGCUCUCAGCCCCACCCCACCCCCAUUCCUCUCUCCAGCACGCAGCAAGGGCUUAGACGUGUCCAAGAUUUUGUGAAUAAUGUUUCUGACAGACACUACAGCCUUUUCCUCCUCCUGCGUGUGGAGAGCUCAGGCCGCCCCCAGGGAAGACUCCCCAGCCAAGCAGCUGGCUUCGGCUCUGGGAACACUAAAUUCUGCCUGCAUUUCUAGCCAGGCCUGGUUACUUUAGAAUCCCUCUCCUCCCCGUCUUUUCGAGCGGGACCAGCCAAGGUAUUCGUCAUCUUUCUGAGCUACCCUGCUGGUUGAUUUAUGUAGACGCAGGGCAGAGGCCAGGAGUCAGGAGCUGGAGUGAUGGGUUCUUCCAUCACCCCAGGGGUCACCAAAAGGGUGACCCUCGGGAUCAAACCUCCACUCAGCUCAGACUGAGGAUAGCACAGCCUCCACAGCCUCGGGGAGCAGAGACGAGCUCUCGACUUCGUCCUGGAUGUAAGGCAUCCGUUAAAGAAGAGCGGCUGCAUGUGUCUUUCACUGGACUCCACCUUAAAAAAAAACCCUUCUGAAAAAAAAAAAAAAAAUCCAGCCUUCUCCUUCAGGACGCUGGAUGCUGUCUUUUUGGCCAAGGAGAAAACAAGCAACAGAUGAUGCCCUCGUGGACACACGAGGAGGCCAAACCUGAAUGUUAAUCAUCUCCAAAUAUGUGCAGCUCCUUCCAGCCUCUCUGGCUCUCCCCAGAAGAUCCAUGAUUGGAGCGCUCUCCCAGAGGCUGGGGACUGGCUGCAGAUACUCAGGAACUCAUCAGAAGGUCUAAUUGCACUGACAGGGUAAUUGCUGGGCGGUGUGUUUAAUACGCCUGCGGGUGAUUUUGACUGGCUAAAACUGGCUGCUGCUCUAAGUUCGACUCCCACUUCAGCACUCCCAAAAGAUCGACUGAUGCUGUCAUCCAAAAUGGAAAAAAAAAAAAAGAGAGAGAGAGAGAGACUCUUUUUAAUUCCAUUGCAUAUUAAAGUAUGAGCUCAUUGGAAUAUA